rnacentral:rRNA from 1 species
GACGAACGCUGGCGGCGUGCCUAAUACAUGCAAGUAGAACGCUGAAGGAGGAGCUUGCUUCUCUGGAUGAGUUGCGAACGGGUGAGUAACGCGUAGGUAACCUGCCUGGUAGCGGGGGAUAUCUAUUGGAAACGAUAGCUAAUACCGCAUAAUAGUAGAUGUUGCAUGACAUUUGCUUAAAAGGUGCAAUUGCAUCACUACCAGAUGGACCUGCGUUGUAUUAGCUAGUUGGUGAGGUAACGGCUCACCAAGGCAACGAUACAUAGCCGACCUGAGAGGGUGAUCGGCCACACUGGGACUGAGACACGGCCCAGACUCCUACGGGAGGCAGCAGUAGGGAAUCUUCGGCAAUGGACGGAAGUCUGACCGAGCAACGCCGCGUGAGUGAAGAAGGUUUUCGGAUCGUAAAGCUCUGUUGUAAGAGAAGAACGAGUGUGAGAGUGGAAAGUUCACACUGUGACGGUAUCUUACCAGAAAGGGACGGCUAACUACGUG